rnacentral:rRNA from 2 species
AUGCAGUCGAGCGGGUUUACCCUUCGGGGUAAGCUAGCGGCGGACGGGUGAGUAACACGUAGGUAACCUGCCUAUAAGAUCGGGAUAACUAUCGGAAACGAUAGCUAAGACCGGAUAAUUGGUUUUCUCGCAUGAGAGAAUUAUGAAACACGGAGCAAUCUGUGGCUUAUAGAUGGGCCUGCGGCGCAUUAGCUAGUUGGUAGGGUAACGGCCUACCAAGGCGACGAUGCGUAGCCGACCUGAGAGGGUGAACGGCCACACUGGGACUGAGACACGGCCCAGACUCCUACGGGAGGCAGCAGUAGGGAAUCUUCCGCAAUGGACGCAAGUCUGACGGAGCAACGCCGCGUGAGUGAUGAAGGUUUUCGGAUCGUAAAGCUCUGUUGCCCUAGACGAACAGCAAGAAGAGUAACUGCCCUUUGUGUGACGGUAUAGGAGAAGAAAGCCCCGGCUAACUACGUGCCAGCAGCCGCGGUAAUACGUAGGGGGCAAGCGUUGUCCGGAAUUAUUGGGCGUAAAGCGCGCGCAGGCGGUCAAUUAAGUUGGGUGUUUAAGCCCGGGGCUCAACCCCGGUUCGCAUCCAAAACUGGUUGACUUGAGUGUAGGAGAGGAAAGUGGAAUUCCACGUGUAGCGGUGAAAUGCGUAGAGAUGUGGAGGAACACCAGUGGCGAAGGCGACUUUCUGGCCUAUAACUGACGCUGAGGCGCGAAAGCGUGGGGAGCAAACAGGAUUAGAUACCCUGGUAGUCCACGCCGUAAACGAUGCAUACUAGGUGUUGGGGAUUCGAUUCCUCGGUGCCGAAGUUAACACAGUAAGUAUGCCGCCUGGGGAGUACGCUCGCAAGAGUGAAACUCAAAGGAAAUU